GACGAACGCUGGCGGCGUGCUUAACACAUGCAAGUCGAACGAUGAACCCGGAGCUUGCUCUGGGGGAUUAGUGGCGAACGGGUGAGUAACACGUGAGUAACCUGCCCUGGACUCUGGGAUAAGCGUUGGAAACGACGUCUAAUACCGGAUAGGACCUUGGAUCGCAUGAUCUGGGGUGGAAAGUUUUUUCGGUCUGGGAUGGACUCGCGGCCUAUCAGCUUGUUGGUGAGGUAAUGGCUCACCAAGGCGUCGACGGGUAGCCGGCCUGAGAGGGUGACCGGCCACACUGGGACUGAGACACGGCCCAGACUCCUACGGGGGCAGCAGUGGGGAAUAUUGCACAAUGGGCGAAAGUCUGAUGCAGCAACGCCGCGUGCGGGAUGACGGCCUUCGGGUUGUAAACCGCUUUUAGUAGGGAAGAAGGGCUUCGGCUUGACGGUACCUGCAGAAAAAGGACCGGCUAACUACGUG
rnacentral:rRNA from 1 species